UGGGAUGUCGCCAAGCGGUAAGGCACGGCACUUUGACUGCCGCACUCGUAGGUUCGAAUCCUGCUAUCCCAGCCA
rnacentral:tRNA from 1 species